AGGGAGACCUAAUUCGGGUAUAAGACGAAAAAAUAGUAGUCGAAACCAAGAAUCAAUCCCAAAAGGUCGGAACGAGGUAUGUGGCUUUCAAACUAGGUUCUGGGUUCAUAAAAGACCUGAAUCAGGAACAAGGGCUAUUAGCUCAGGUGGUUAGAGCGCACCCCUGAUAAGGGUGAGGUCCCUGGUUCGAGUCCAGGAUGGCCCACCUGCACAGGUGGCAAAAACAAAGAAAAGAAGCGAGGAAUCAGCACCUUAUCUUACUUAUAUAGUAAGAGAGAAUGCUGGCUCUGAGUACAGAGUCCAGAGGAACCUUGAAAACUGCAUAGAGCUAGGUGAAAAAGCCAAAAAAGAAGACCGCAA
rnacentral:tRNA from 1 species